rnacentral:rRNA from 1 species
GAUGAACGCUGGCGGCGUGCCUAAUACAUGCAAGUCGAGCGAACAGAUGAGGAGCUUGCUCCUCUGACGUUAGCGGCGGACGGGUGAGUAACACGUGGAUAACCUACCUAUAAGACUGGGAUAACUUCGGGAAACCGGAGCUAAUACCGGAGAAUAUAUUGAACCGCAUGGUUCAAUAGUGAAAGACGGUUUUGCUGUCACUUAUAGAUGGAUCCGCGCCGCAUUAGCUAGUUGGUAAGUUAACGGCUUACCAAGGCAACGAGGCGUAGCCGACCUGAGAGGGUGAUCGGCCACACUGGAACUGAGACACGGUCCAGACUCCUACGGGAGGCAGCAGUAGGGAAUCUUCCGCAAUGGGCGAAAGCCUGACGGAGCAACGCCGCGUGAGUGAUGAAGGUCUUCGGAUCGUAAAACUCUGUUAUUAGGGAAGAACAAAUGUGUAAGUAACUAUGCACGUCUUGACGGUACCUAAUCAGAAAGCAACGGCUAACUACGUG